GGUUAAGCGACUAAGCGUACACGGUGGAUGCCCUGGCAGUCAGAGGCGAUGAAGGACGUGCUAAUCUGCGAUAAGCGUCGGUAAGGUGAUAUGAACCGUUAUAACCGGCGAUUUCCGAAUGGGGAAACCCAGUGUGAUUCGUCACACUAUCAUUAACUGAAUCCAUAGGUUAAUGAGGCGAACCGGGGGAACUGAAACAUCUAAGUACCCCGAGGAAAAGAAAUCAACCGAGAUUCCCCCAGUAGCGGCGAGCGAACGGGGAGCAGCCCAGAGCCUGAAUCAGUGUGUGUGUUAGUGGAAGCGUCUGGAAAGGCGUGCGAUACAGGGUGACAGCCCCGUACACAAAAAUGCACAUACUGUGAGCUCGAUGAGUAGGGCGGGACACGUGGUAUCCUGUCUGAAUAUGGGGGGACCAUCCUCCAAGGCUAAAUACUCCUGACUGACCGAUAGUGAACCAGUACCGUGAGGGAAAGGCGAAAAGAACCCCGGCGAGGGGAGUGAAAAAGAACCUGAAACCGUGUACGUACAAGCAGUGGGAGCACGCUUAGGCGUGUGACUGCGUACCUUUUGUAUAAUGGGUCAGCGACUUAUAUUCUGUAGCAAGGUUAACCGAAUAGGGGAGCCGAAGGGAAACCGAGUCUUAACUGGGCGUUAAGUUGCAGGGUAUAGACCCGAAACCCGGUGAUCUAGCCAUGGGCAGGUUGAAGGUUGGGUAACACUAACUGGAGGACCGAACCGACUAAUGUUGAAAAAUUAGCGGAUGACUUGUGGCUGGGGGUGAAAGGCCAAUCAAACCGGGAGAUAGCUGGUUCUCCCCGAAAGCUAUUUAGGUAGCGCCUCGUGAAUUCAUCUCCGGGGGUAGAGCACUGUUUCGGCAAGGGGGUCAUCCCGACUUACCAACCCGAUGCAAACUGCGAAUACCGGAGAAUGUUAUCACGGGAGACACACGGCGGGUGCUAACGUCCGUCGUGAAGAGGGAAACAACCCAGACCGCCAGCUAAGGUCCCAAAGUCAUGGUUAAGUGGGAAACGAUGUGGGAAGGCCCAGACAGCCAGGAUGUUGGCUUAGAAGCAGCCAUCAUUUAAAGAAAGCGUAAUAGCUCACUGGUCGAGUCGGCCUGCGCGGAAGAUGUAACGGGGCUAAACCAUGCACCGAAGCUGCGGCAGCGACGCUUAUGCGUUGUUGGGUAGGGGAGCGUUCUGUAAGCCUGUGAAGGUGUACUGUGAGGUAUGCUGGAGGUAUCAGAAGUGCGAAUGCUGACAUAAGUAACGAUAAAGCGGGUGAAAAGCCCGCUCGCCGGAAGACCAAGGGUUCCUGUCCAACGUUAAUCGGGGCAGGGUGAGUCGACCCCUAAGGCGAGGCCGAAAGGCGUAGUCGAUGGGAAACAGGUUAAUAUUCCUGUACUUGGUGUUACUGCGAAGGGGGGACGGAGAAGGCUAUGUUGGCCGGGCGACGGUUGUCCCGGUUUAAGCGUGUAGGCUGGUUUUCCAGGCAAAUCCGGAAAACUAAGGCUGAGGCGUGAUGACGAGGCACUACGGUGCUGAAGCAACAAAUGCCCUGCUUCCAGGAAAAGCCUCUAAGCAUCAGGUAACAUCAAAUCGUACCCCAAACCGACACAGGUGGUCAGGUAGAGAAUACCAAGGCGCUUGAGAGAACUCGGGUGAAGGAACUAGGCAAAAUGGUGCCGUAACUUCGGGAGAAGGCACGCUGAUAUGUAGGUGAAGUCCCUCGCGGAUGGAGCUGAAAUCAGUCGAAGAUACCAGCUGGCUGCAACUGUUUAUUAAAAACACAGCACUGUGCAAACACGAAAGUGGACGUAUACGGUGUGACGCCUGCCCGGUGCCGGAAGGUUAAUUGAUGGGGUUAGCGCAAGCGAAGCUCUUGAUCGAAGCCCCGGUAAACGGCGGCCGUAACUAUAACGGUCCUAAGGUAGCGAAAUUCCUUGUCGGGUAAGUUCCGACCUGCACGAAUGGCGUAAUGAUGGCCAGGCUGUCUCCACCCGAGACUCAGUGAAAUUGAACUCGCUGUGAAGAUGCAGUGUACCCGCGGCAAGACGGAAAGACCCCGUGAACCUUUACUAUAGCUUGACACUGAACAUUGAGCCUUGAUGUGUAGGAUAGGUGGGAGGCUUUGAAGUGUGGACGCCAGUCUGCAUGGAGCCGACCUUGAAAUACCACCCUUUAAUGUUUGAUGUUCUAACGUUGACCCGUAAUCCGGGUUGCGGACAGUGUCUGGUGGGUAGUUUGACUGGGGCGGUCUCCUCCUAAAGAGUAACGGAGGAGCACGAAGGUUGGCUAAUCCUGGUCGGACAUCAGGAGGUUAGUGCAAUGGCAUAAGCCAGCUUGACUGCGAGCGUGACGGCGCGAGCAGGUGCGAAAGCAGGUCAUAGUGAUCCGGUGGUUCUGAAUGGAAGGGCCAUCGCUCAACGGAUAAAAGGUACUCCGGGGAUAACAGGCUGAUACCGCCCAAGAGUUCAUAUCGACGGCGGUGUUUGGCACCUCGAUGUCGGCUCAUCACAUCCUGGGGCUGAAGUAGGUCCCAAGGGUAUGGCUGUUCGCCAUUUAAAGUGGUACGCGAGCUGGGUUUAGAACGUCGUGAGACAGUUCGGUCCCUAUCUGCCGUGGGCGCUGGAGAACUGAGGGGGGCUGCUCCUAGUACGAGAGGACCGGAGUGGACGCAUCACUGGUGUUCGGGUUGUCAUGCCAAUGGCACUGCCCGGUAGCUAAAUGCGGAAGAGAUAAGUGCUGAAAGCAUCUAAGCACGAAACUUGCCCCGAGAUGAGUUCUCCCUGACUCCUUGAGAGUCCUGAAGGAACGUUGAAGACGACGACGUUGAUAGGCCGGGUGUGUAAGCGCAGCGAUGCGUUGAGCUAACCGGUACUAAUGAACCGUGAGGCUUAACCUU
rnacentral:rRNA from 1 species